UGCCAGCAGCCGCGGUAAUACGGAGGUUCCAAGCGUUGUUCGGAUUUACUGGGCGUAAAGGGAGCGCAGGCGGUUUGAUAAGUCUGAAGUGGAAGCCCGGGGCUCAACCCCGGAAGGCCUUUGGAUACUGUCAGACUUGAGUUCGUGAGAGGAAAGCGGAAUUCCAGGUGUAGCGGUGAAAUGCGUAGAUAUCUGGAGGAACAUCGGUGGCGAAAGCGGCCUUCUGGCACGAUACUGACGCUGAGGCUCGAAAGCGUGGGGAGCGAACGGGAUUAGAUA
rnacentral:rRNA from 1 species